GUCUACGGCCAUACCACCCUGAACGCGCCCGAUCUCGUCUGAUCUCGGAAGCUAAGCAGGGUCGGGCCUGGUUAGUACUUGGAUGGGAGAAGGACGAGAAUAACGGACUAUGUGGAGG
ensembl:rRNA 5S_rRNA 5S ribosomal RNA